GACCUACUUCCUCCGUUCGGAAUUACUUGUCUCGGAAAUGGAUGUAUCUAGAACUAAAAUACGUCUAAAUACAUUCAUUUCUACGACAAAUAAUUCCGAACGGAGGGAGUACCUC
rnacentral:pre_miRNA from 1 species